rnacentral:rRNA from 1 species
AUGAACGCUGGCGGCGUGCCUAAUACAUGCAAGUCGAGCGAACAGAUGAGGAGCUUGCUCCUCUGACGUUAGCGGCGGACGGGUGAGUACACGUGGAUAACCUACCUAUAAGACUGGGAUAACUUCGGGAAACCGGAGCUAAUACCGGAUAAUAUAUUGAACCGCAUGGUUCAAUAGUGAAAGACGGUUUUGCUGUCACUUAUAGAUUGAUCCGCGCCGCAUUAGCUAGUUGGUAAGGUAACGGCUUACCAAGGCAACGAUGCGUAGCCGACCUGAGAGGGUGAUCGGCCACACUGGAACUGAGACACGGUCCAGACUCCUACGGGAGGCAGCAGUAGGGAAUCUUCCGCAAUGGGCGAAAGCCUGACGGAGCAACGCCGCGUGAGUGAUGAAGGUCUUCGGAUCGUAAAACUCUGUUAUUAGGGAAGAACAAAUGUGUAAGUAACUAUGCACGUCUUGACGGUACCUAAUCAGAAAGCCACGGCUAACUACGUG